rnacentral:rRNA from 1 species
AAGUCGUAACAAGGUUUCCGUAGGUGAACCUGCGGAAGGAUCAUUAUCGAGUUAGGGUCCCUCGUGGCCCGAACCUCCAACCCUUGUGUUUAACUAUACCACGUUGCUUCGGCGGGCCCGUCUCCCCCUCCCCGGGGGCGACCGCCGGACGUUCUGCGUCUGGCCCGUUGCCCGUCGAUAGCCCAACUUCAAACUCUUGAUGAAACCUGUCGUCUGAGUAUACAAAUAAAUAAAGCACAAAACUUUCAACAACGGAUCUCUUGGUUCUGGCAUCGAUGAAGAACGCAGCGAAAUGCGAUAAGUAAUGCGAAUUGCAGAAUUUCCGUGAGUCAUCGAAUCUUUGAACGCACAUUGCGCCCAUUGGUAUUCCGAUGGGCAUGCCUGUUCGAGCGUCAUUAUCAACCCUCAAGCCCGGCUUGGUGUUGGACGUCUUAGGUCGUGGGGUUUCCCCGCGACCCGUCCCAAAGACAAUGACGGCGUCUGUUUGGACCCUCGGUGCAAUGAGUUUCUCACCGAAGCACGCACUCGAGUCUUAGGACCAGACAGCCCGGUCUCCCAGUUUUAUUAAACUACUACAAGGUUGACCUCGGAUCAGGUAGGGAUACCCGCUGAACUUAA